rnacentral:rRNA from 1 species
UGAGUACGAGAUGCUACGGCAUCGAAGCAGUCUAUGUCAUACUUCCAAGAAAAGCUUGCACUGUCAUAAACAAAGAAUGCCUGUACCAUAACCGACACAGGUGGGUAGGUAGAGUAUACUAAGGGGCGCGAGAUAACUCUCUCUAAGGAACUCGGCAAAAUGACUCCGUAACUUCGGGAGAAGGAGUGCCUUAUUUCUAAGGUUGCAAUAACAAGAUCCAAGCAACUGUUUACCAAAAACACAGGUCUCCGCUAAGUCGUAAGACGAUGUAUGGGGGCUGACGCCUGCCCAGUGCCAGAAGGUUAAAGAAGUUGGUUAGCAUUCGCGAAGCUGAUAACUGAAGCCCUGGUGAACGGCGGCCGUAACAAUAACGGUCCUAAGGUAGCGAAAUUCCUUGUCGGGUAAGUUCCGACCCGCACGAAAGGCGUAAUGAUUUGGAUACUGUCUCGGAGAGGGGCUCGGUGAAAUAGACUUGUCUGUGGAGAUGCGGACUACCUGCACCUGGACAGAAAGACCCUAUGAAGCUUUACUGUAACUUGAGAUUGAAAUUGGACUUUAUUUGCGCAGUAUAGGUGGGAGGCGUUGAGAGCAAUCCUGCGGGAUUGUUGGAGCCAUCAGUGAGAUACCACUCUUGUAAUGUUAGAUUUCUAACUUUGUAUCAUGAUCUGGUCAAGAACAGUUUCAGGCGGGCAGUUUGACUGGGGCGGUCGCCUCCCAAACGGUAACGGAGGCGCACAAAGGUUUCCUCUGAACGGGUAGAAAUCGUAUCUAGAGUGUAAAGGCAUAAGGAAGCUUGACUGUGAGACCUACAAGUCGAGCAGGGACGAAAGUCGGUCUUAGUGAUCUGACGGUGCUGAGUGGAAAGGCCGUCACUCAACGGAUAAAAGUUACUCUAGGAUAACAGGCUGAUCUCCCCCAAGAGUUCACAUCGACGGGGAGGUUUGGCACCUCGAUGUCGGCUCAUCGCAUCCUGGGGCGGUAGUACGUCCCAAGGGUUGGGCUGUUCGCCCAUGAAAGCGGUAUGCGAGCUGGGUUCAGAACGUCGUGAGACAGUUCGGUCCAUAUCCGGUGUAGGCGUUAGAAUAUUGAGAGGAGCCUUCUCUAGUACGAGAGGACCGAGAAGGACAUACCUCUGGUGUACCAGUUAUCGUGCCAACGGUAAACGCUGGGUAGCUAUGUAUGGAGUGGAUAACCGCUGAAAGCAUCUAAGUGGGAAGCCCACCUCAAGAUAAG